rnacentral:lncRNA from 1 species
AACGAUGUCGUUGCCCCUCUCCCUUCACCAAAUGACGCCGUUUCACCUCUGAAAUCCUCAUUCUACAUAUAUAUCUAUACAUACAUACCAAUUUUCCUUUUUUUUCCAAUUAUUACAGCUUGGUGGUUAUUUUGUUGAUGGAGAUCUUUAUGUAAAAGACUUAUCGGAUAUCCUAGGAAAGGGAGAACGAGCUUGGUACAUAGAGAACCUUACCAUGAACGUUAACUCAGUCGAACGGCUCUAGGAAGUCCUAUACCAAAAGAGUUUGGGAGAUAUGGUUCACUCUUAUACCGGACAGGGUAUUAAGGUGAUAGAAUGUUUGGGCCCCCUUACCGGACAGGGUAUUGAGGUAAUAGAAUGUUUGGGCUCCAUUACCGGACGAGGUAUGAGAACGGCCGGUUAAUUGAUAAAUAUGGAUAUUGAGUUCACGUGUGGGGGGACACUUCUAUAGAACUUUAGGGGUACCAGU